UAUUUUUAUGCCGGAGUUAAAUGUACACUACUUAUAGUGAAUAUUUUUGAUGGAUUACUCACAUAUUUUAUAUGAUUUAGGAUUAUUUCACAAUGCUACUGUAGGUUAGUAACUUUGACUAGAUAUUUUUCUAUUUCUAUUAUGGGUUCAUGUUUAAUGUGAGCAUCUGCCCAAAACUAUACACUAAAGCACAAAAGGCAAUGGAUUUGCUGUAUAUCAAAACUAAAAGAAAUACUGGAAAUACUGGAUGGAUUUGAUGGACUCAUGCUUAUCAAUUUUUAUGACCAUUCAAUCUGUGAAUAUUUCGGCUUGUAUGGUCAUGAAAAAAUAGUCGCACUGUCACGCUUUGGUUAGAGAGCCCACCAUGUGAUCAAUGACGUUUCAAUCUUGAUGAGAAGGGAUGCACAUUCCCGAAUGCAUCCUUCCUCAUGAUAUGUUGAGUUAAACAUGUUCAUUGCACAUAAAAAUGUCACAGAAAGAGAUGCAGUGCCAAAUACCGACCGCAUGCAGUGCGCGAGCAUGACUAAACAUGUGGUAUUUGAACAUAUGGUAUUUAAACAUGUGGUAUUUAAACAUGUGGCAUUUAAACAUGUGGCAUUUAAACAUGUGGUAUUUGAACAUAUGGUAUUUAAACAUGUGGUAUUCAAACAUGUGGCAUUUAAACAUGUGGUAUUUAAACAUUUGGUAUUUGAACAUGUGGUAUUUAAACAUGUGGUAUUUAAACAUGUGGUAUUUCCAGAAGACAUUUAAUUCGGCUUUGCAAGACACUGUGCUUGGUAUUUCGUAAACUAACAUUAUAUAGCAAGCACGACAUUAACUGUUCAAUAAAACAGCGUUCAUGUACAUAAAUUGUGUGAACUCAAAUCAUGAAGUAUACGAUUUUCUGUCAUUCUUGGUUUGGUCGUUGAAGAGAUAAGACGUAUUUUUUGUGCUCUCGACGUCGCGCUCAGUAUAUAAAUUGAACUGCGCGGGCAAAAAAACGCUCAGUUGACCAAUAGACUUUGACAAAGACAGACGUUAAUUUUGUGAUCUCUGAAAAAAAUUUGACAUGAUUUUUUUUAUGAUGACUAUGUCUCAGUUGACUUUUGAACGUUAACGAAUAUGAACGUACUUUCGUGAGCUCUGACUACAGUAUCGAUGAAAAGUUUUGAGUUUAACUGACUUGACUUCGCGUUAUAGAAUAGCGACUUGGUACUCGGGUUAUUGAAUGACUGGUGGACUGUAGUGUUAGGUUAUUGUCAUGAGAUAACAACUUGACUUUGACUUGAGUUGCGUGCAAUUAAAUUUGUGUUGGGGUGUCAAGCGAUUGACUUCACUUGAACUCUGGACGUCGGAGUGAUCAGAUGUGUUUUUGAAGCUGGUGUCUACGAAAACGUGAGUACAAACUUUUGUGUUUGACUGUUGACGUGUCUCACUGUGUAUGAUGAUUUAUGAUGAUUUAAAGCGGCUGGCGUAUUAUUGUUGAGUUGUUGUACUGAUAGAGAAGUGAAAUGCGUUGGGUAUAAAUUACUCAGUACUUAUACAGUGUUGAUAAUAUGGUGUGAUGAGAGAUGAUGGUGUUACAAAAUAUUUACUGAGCUACUUUGGGAAACGAACCGAUGAUGUAAAAACAUUGGAAACAUAUUUCAUGAAAAUGCAUGUGCUUAUAUGUACUAAAUAUGAUAUUGCUUUACUUGUAUUUGCAUGUCGUUAACAUUUCUAUUUUAUUUCAGUAUGCUGUGGUGAGUAUUGCAGAUUUAACUUGUAUGUGUGGUUUUUAGUUAACGAUGCUUAAUGAAAACUAUUAUUGUACACUUAGUAUGGAAUGAUGUGAAUGAUGAUAUGAUGGGUAGAAUUAAUCAGUGCUUGUGUCUAGAAAUGCUGAAUGUUUAUUGAAAAGGCUAAAUGCUAGCCAAAACUAACAGUUGAGCUACCGUGGGGAUGUCAAACGAAUUGAUGGUGUAAUAUGAUGGUGUAUCGACAUACUUUUCUUAUAUGCACUAUAUUUGAUACAUGUAUUGGUUUACAUUUUUUGCAUGCUGUUACAGUUUUUGUUUCAGUGUGCUGUGGUAAGUACUGUAGAUAUUACUUGAUUUUUAGUGUCUAUGAAUGCUGAUGUAUGAUAGCUAUAGCAUGAGCUCAAUGCUAACCAGUAUUAUGAGUUGAUGUAUUGUGGUGAUGCUAAUCGAACUGAUGAUGUAACAUGAUGGUGAACACUUACUGAAUGCAUACAAUUUAUUGAAUUGCGUUUGUUGAUAUGCACUAUAAUAUGAUUAAUGUAUUGCUUGACAUGUAUUUUUCAUGAUGUUUAAUUUCAGUUUGCUGUGGUGAGUACUGUAGAUUGUAUUGCCUAUGUAUAGAAUUCAAUAAAAGAUUAUGACUGAAAACUGCUUUUGAUUCUUUUUGUACAGUUUUAGGGACUAUAAGUCUAUAACAAAAAUAUGUCGGUUUAUGUUCAUGAGUGUGGGCUUAAUACAGCAAUGUUUGAGUAGUACAGAAAUGUUUCUUCGUUUGUGGUCGCCAGUUGUCUGUGACUUGUAAAGUGAAAAAUACGCAUAGCUUUGAAUGCAACAACUAUUUACUGUUUUAACAAAGAUUGUGUACUAUGCAUGUUUUGAUGUAGAUCUUUUCAGAUUUGACAUAAAAUGAAGACCUGUCAGUUUAACAGAGCUGGGAAACGAAGAGGUAAGUGUGUUUCAUCUUACUAUGAACACUGGUAUUUUGACAAAAGAAGAGAUAAAGUGAGUUUCUUCAUUAUCAUGGUUUCUUUCAGAGUAUAACUUAUGAACAAAUCAAAACCUAUUUUUUACUAGAUUUUCAUGUACUCUUUUUUUGGAUGAUGAGUAACUUAAAAUCAUACGGCUAGUACAGUAUGGAACAUGAAUGCUUUGUUCAGAUUUUCAGAUGUGUGCUGGCAGUUUAAGUCUGGCAGCUGAAGUGAACAGUCAUGAUUUUGUUGGAGCUCCAACAAUAUGCUAGAAGGUAAGUAACUAUGUUUAAUUUGCAUUGCAUGUUUUCCUAUGUUUCAGACUUUUAAACAGAGAUGUCAUGAUGACUGGAGUUGAGCACAGGGCAGUGAUAAAGUAAAAGGUAAGUACUUUUGACUGAAUGUUUGUUCUAUGCAUGUUUUGCUAUAAUACAUUCCAGGAGUGCUUAUGCAGUGAUGAUUUGACAGUUGAGUGAAAGUGGAGCCAUGCAGUCUUGAUUUUGAAGCUUCUCAACAAGCCUUGAAGGUAAGGUUAGAAUGACUCAAUGUUAGUGAAUUAUUUAAAAAAAUAUACUGUCAGUGAAGUACUGUCAGUUGCAUUUGGACAGUUGAGCAGAACAGACGUAGCUGUAAGAGCUCUCAUAUCUGUUGUGUAAAACUGUCCUAAUGAUAUGUUAUGCUUGUUUGUUUCUGUUGUACUAUUUUUCAGAUACGUUUGGCAGUGAAGGAUUGAAAGCUGACAUGAACAGAAAAAAGAUGCUGUUGGCAGUGAUGGGUUUGGAAGCUGGCAUGAACAGAAAAGCAAACAUAUGGUGAGUACAAAAUAGUUUUUAUAUGGUAUGUUUUGUGCAUGCUUCUAUGUUUCAGAUGUACUUGCAGUCAACAACGAAGAUGAUUCAAGAAGAGAAACAUUGUUGUGAUGUGAAUAGAACGUUCAAAUAGGGUAAGUGUAACAAUUGUGGUAGUUUGAUUUGUACCAUGUGUGUAUUGCUAUGUUUCAGAUUGCACAUGCAGAGAUGGUUUCCUACUGGGUGUCAAUAGAAGGGACACGAGUAAAAACGAUUUCAACCGCUAAACCACAAUUCAAGAAGUUGGGUAAGUUUUAAGUCAUUGAUUUGAGGUGUACAAUGUGUUCUUUACUUUGUUGCAGAUUCGAGUCACUGGUUUACACAUGGAAGAAGAUUUCCACCUCUGUGACACAUCUUUACAAAAGCAAGGUAAGUUGACCAAGUUGUUUUUUUAUUUGUUCUGCUAUAAUGUGAUGUUAUGCUAUUUUUCAGGUUUUCCAUGUAGCUAUGGAUAAAACAAUUUUAAGACAGAAUAGCUGCUGCAGCUUGGUUCUGUGUUGGUUUUUGUUUAAAAACGUUUUACAUGCAUGUGUGUUUCAAAAUAUUUUGUUUCAGUAGAGGGCCAGAUGUCGAGCAGUACAGAUGUGUUUUUUGGAGGGAGCUCCCAAACCGUGAGUACAAGUAUUUGAUAUUUAGAAGUCUAUGUGAAAGAUAAUAGCAAUGGUAGAAUCUAUCAGUACUUGUGUUUAGAAAUGCUGAUGUGUGACGGUUAACUGAAAAGGGUAAAUGCUAGCCAGUACUUACACCUGAGCAAACGUGGGAUGUCGAACUAACUGAUGAUGUACUAUGAUGGUGAACACUUACUUUGUGUAUCGAAAUGCUUUUGUUGAUAUGAGUGUGAGCUUAAUACAGCAAUGUUUGAGUAAUACAAAAAAUGUAUGUACUCUUUUGUGGUUGCCAGUUGUUUGUGAUAUGUAUAGUAAAAAAAACACAACACAAAGCUAUGAAGCAUACAAUUGUUUUAAGAUUUUAUCAAUGAUUGUGUACUAUGCAUGUUUUGAUUUAGUUCGUUUCAGAUAUGACAUGACCUGAAUAUUUGACAGUCGAACGGAGCUGAGCAUUGCAGAAAAGGUCUCAUAGUAGCCUCAACAGUGAAUAAGGAUAUCAACUGCUGUGACUAAACUGUUGAAGAAGGGUCUCUCAUGCAGUGAGGGAAAAGAAGAAGAUUUCAAUAAAGAAUCACUGCUGCAACUCAGCUCUUUAAACAAGGUAAGUGUUUACUAUGUUGUAUACAAAAUGUUUCUCUUUCUUACUAUGUUUCAGGUUAACAUUGCAGAGAUGUUUUGACAGCUUGUGACAGAAAAGAAAUUCAGCAGCUGUGUCUUGACUGUAGCCACAAGGUAAGUCGAAACAAAUAUACUGGUUUGUAUGUUGUGUUGUUAUGCCCUUCUAUGUUUCAGACUUACAUUGCUGUGACUGUUCCACAGUGGGUCAAAAAAAAACGAAUACAGGUUUCAAGAAGAAAAUUGGCUGUUAAAACUCUGCACAAAAUAUGAGGUAAGUGAACUACUCUUUUGGUUUGUGUUGUGCUUUGUUCUGCUUAACUAUUUUUCAGAUUUGAGUGGUGGGUCGUUACAGAGCAGACUUUUUGACAAGUGAGAAGUUGAGAAACAGAGAAUGAUUUAAGAUCAGCUAGGUAAGUCUUGAUUAUUAUGCAUUGCUAAAUGUUGUUUUUUAUUUCAGUAUGGCUGUGGUAAGUACACUAACUUUCUAUAAUUUAAUAUUGAACUGCUUUGAUAACUUGUAUCCUGCUAUGCAAUGCUUAAUAUAUAUUUUUCAUUUCAGUAUGGCUGUGGUAAGUACACAAACUUUCUUUAAUUUUCACAUUGAACUGUUUUGAUGACUUGUAUCCUGCUAUGCAAAAUGUCUUUUUUUAUUUCAGUAGCCUGUUGGUAAGUACGCUAACUUUCUAUAAUUUCAUAGUGAAUUGUUUUGAUGACCUGUAUUCUGCAUUGUAAAAUGUGUUUCUUUUUCAUUUCAGUAUGGCUGUGGUAAGUACAAUUGCCUUUCAUAUUGAACUGUUUUGAUGACCUGUAUUUUGCAUUGUAAAAUGUGUUUCUUUUUCAUUUCAGUAUGGCUGUGGUAAGUACACAAACUUUCUUUAAUUUUCAUAUUGAACUGUUUUGAUGACUUGUAUUCUGCUAUACAAAAUGUGUUUUUAUCAGUUCAGUUGCCUGAUGGUAAGUACAAUUUGCUUCUUUAAAUUGCAUGUUGAAAUAUAUUUGAUGACUUUUGUUCUGCUAUGCUCUUUUUCAUUUCAGUUGGGCAGAUGUAAGUACACUUCAUUUAUGUAAAAACUGAAUAUGAUUGUUGUGCUAUACAAAAUGUGCUUUUCUCAAUUUCGGGUCAGCAAUGGUAAGUAGAUUGUGUUUCUUUAUGUAUAAUUUUGUAUACAUAUUGUUUUUUUCAUCAUAGCAUGUUUUUCAUAUUUAUGCUUUGUGUAAGUAAAAUGUUCAUAAAUCAUUCUUAUCUUAAAACUAAAAAUGUAUUGUGCUAUGCAAAAUGUCUGUAUGAUUUCAGUUGCCAGAGGUGAGUACCAUUACAGUUGAAAAGUUAGUUUUGUUUAGUUCAAGUUUUGGUUCACAGUUCUGUUUGUUAUUUGGCAAAAUUUACAUGUAUGCAUUGAGUCUUGAUUUCAGCUCGAUUGUGGACUGAAGAAGAUUGUCCGCAGAGGGAUUGGAUACAAAAAACAAAGUAAGUACUGAGUUUCUUACUAAAAGUUUUGAGUUGUAUUCAUUGUGUGUUAAUAUGCUAUGAUUGCUAUGAACAUGACUUUUGUAUUUCAGCGAAGACAACAUAGGUAAGUAAAAUUGUUAUCUGUUUCAUGUUUACUGUUACAGUUCAAUAUUGUGUUUAUAAAUUGUAAGUUGUACAAACACAUUCAAAAGUUUCUGAUCAUGCUUUCGAUUUCAUUUCAGCUUUACUGCUGGACGAGUGUUCUCUACUACUAGACGUGUCAGGUUUACUACCAGGCGAGCAGUGACAACAAGGCGCCUUUGUGGAAACAACACAACAAAAAACUGUACUGCUAGACGAGCAGUGACAGAAAGGCGCCUGAACAUGCAACACAAAACAAAAAAUGCCAAUAUCCAAACCUUGAUGUGGACACCGAGUAGUCAAUACAUACGUGUGGCGUAUAGCUGCGACAAAACCGUGGGUCCAUCGCACCGAUAACUUGAACAUUGGCCCGUGUAUGGACAUCAGUGCAACUUUGUGAAUCCAUGUAACUUUGUGAAUCCAUGUAACAUUGCGAAUGUGUGUCGAUCGAAAAAUGUGUACAUUCUGCACUGAAACGAACUCGGUGUUGCAAGUGGCAAGUGUUGACAGUGUGUAUGUUUAUGUUUAUGUUUUUACAUGAAAAAUAAAGGAGAUUGUUGUUUUA